rnacentral:tRNA from 6 species
UGCCCCGUACUGGAAUCGAACCAGUGAUCUUAUCAUUACUAGUGAUACGCUUUACCACUGAGCCAACGGGGC